GACUGGCCUCCCUGAUCUCUCUCCUCAUGGCAGCGACCCACCUCCAGUCCCCUGGACAAUCGGGAGUGGAUCAUGAAGGAAAUAAAAAUUUCUCUUUUAUUAUGCUGAGAACUUUCCCAACAAUUUCUGCUAUGACCACCUUCCAGGAGUUUUCUAGUCACCAGAUGCCUUGGUAAAGUUCAAUACGUAAUCUUUGGCUCUGAAAGCUGUUCCUGGACAAAAUCUGAGCUAACUCACUGAAGAAUCAACAGAUUGAGGCAACCAUCCGGUCAGUUACUUUUUCCUGCAUCCUGCUGGUGUUGGGGUAACUCCCAAUCCUAGAUGAAAACCUUAGACUUUCUGUUGUCAGGUGUCCCCAGGCAAUAUCCUACGGGGGCAUGAUAGAAAAGGGUAACUCUGGGGUCAGAUAGAUGUACUUACUCACUGUGUGAAGUUGGGAAAGCUGCUUAAUUUCUCUGAGCCUACUUCCUCACCUGUAAAAAUGGGGAUCAUUAUUACCUACCUCACAGGGUUGUUGUGAGGAUUAAGAGAUGGGAUGUGGGAGCACCUAGCCGUAUCUGGCAAAUAGGUACUCAAUAAAUACUGGUUUUACUUC
rnacentral:lncRNA from 1 species